rnacentral:rRNA from 1 species
CUACGGGUUGCUCCAGUGGGGAAUAUUACACAAUGGAGGAAACUCUGAUGUAGCAACGCCGCGUGGAGGAUGACACAUUUCGGUGCGUAAACUCCUUUUAUUAGGGAAGAUAAUGACGGUACCUAAUGAAUAAGCACCGGCUAACUCCGUGCCAGCAGCCGCGGUAAUACGGAGGGUGCAAGCGUUACUCGGAAUCACUGGGCGUAAAGCGCGCGCAGGCGGCCUGAUAAGUUGGAUGUGAAAUCCUAUGGCUUAACCAUAGAACUGCAUCCAAAACUGUUAGGCUAGAGUCUGGGAGGGGAAGAUGGAAUUAGUUGUGUAGGGGUAAAAUCCGUAGAGAUAACUAGGAAUAUCAAAAGCGAAGGCGAUCUUCUGGAACAGUACUGACGCUGAGGCGCGAAAGCGUGGGGAGCAAACAGGAUUAGAUACCCCCGUAGUC